rnacentral:rRNA from 1 species
CCUACGGGAGGCAGCAGUGGGGAAUAUUGGACAAUGGGCGAAAGCCUGAUCCAGCAAUGCCGCGUGUGUGAAGAAGGCCUGCGGGUUGUAAAGCACUUUCGGUUGGGAAGAAAUUUCUUCAGCUAAUACCUGAAGAAUUUGACACUACCUUCAGAAGAAGCACCGGCUAACUCCGUGC